GAGUUUGAUCUUGGCUCAGAACGAACGCUGGCGGCAGGCUUAACACAUGCAAGUCGAACGCCCCGCAAGGGGAGUGGCGCAAGGGUGAGAAACGCGUGGGAAUUUGCCUUUUGGUUCGGAAUAACCACAGGAAACUGUGGCUAAUACCGGAUGGUCCCUUCGGGGUAAAGAUUUAUCGCCAAAAGAUGAGCCCGCGUCAGAUUAGCUAGUUGGUGGGGUAACGGCCUACCAAGGCAACGAUCUGUAGCUGGUCUUAGAGGACGAUCAGCCACACUGGAACUGAGACACGGUCCAGACUCCUACGGGAGGCAGCAGUGGGGAAUAUUGGACAAUGGGGGCAACCCUGAUCCAGCCAUGCCGCGUGAGUGAUGAAGGCCUUCGGGUUG
rnacentral:rRNA from 1 species